GCAGUGGUGGCUCAGUGGUAGAGCUCUCGCCUUCCAUGUAGGAGACCCAGGUUUGAUUCCUGGCCAAUGAA
rnacentral:tRNA from 1 species